AGCGAACGCUGGCGGCAGGCUUAACACAUGCAAGUCGAGCGCCCCGCAAGGGGAGUGGCAGACGGGUGAGUAACACGUGGGAACGUACCCUUUGGUUCGGAAUAACUUGGGGAAACUCAAGCUAAUACCGGAUAAGCCCUUAUGGGGAAAGGUUUACUGCCGAAGGAUCGGCCCGCGUCUGAUUAGCUAGUUGGUGAGGUAAUGGCUCACCAAGGCGACGAUCAGUAGCUGGUCUGAGAGGAUGAUCAGCCACACUGGGACUGAGACACGGCCCAGACUCCUACGGGAGGCAGCAGUGGGGAAUAUUGGACAAUGGGGGCAACCCUGAUCCAGCCAUGCCGCGUGAGUGAUGAAGGCCUUAGGGUUGUAAAGCUCUUUUACCCGGGACGAUAAUGACUGUACCGGGAGAAUAAGCCCCGGCUAGCUUCGUGCCAGCCGCCGCGGUAA
rnacentral:rRNA from 1 species